UCGAUUUCUUCGGAUUGAAAUUUUAGUGACUGAGUGGCGGACGGGUGAGUAACGCGUGGGUAACCUGCCUCACACAGGGGGAUAACAGUUGGAAACGGCUGCUAAUACCGCAUAAGCGCACAGAGCUGCAUGGCUCGGUGUGAAAAACUCCGGUGGUAUGGGAUGGGCCCGCGUCUGAUUAGGCAGUUGGCGGGGUAACGGCCCACCAAGGCGACGAUCCAUAGCCGACCUGAGAGGGUGACCGGCCACAUUGGGACUGAGACACGGCCCAAACUCC
rnacentral:rRNA from 1 species